GAGUUAUAUGAACAAGAGCAAAAUUUGGAGCAGGCUAUCACUUACUAUGAGAAAGCAGCUGAUCUUUUCCAGAGUGAGGAUGUAACAACAACUGCAAAUCAGUGCAAGCAGAAAAUUGCAGAAUUCUCUGCUAAAUUAGAAAAAUAUCAAAGAGCAAUUGAGAUCUUUGAGGAGAUAGCACAACACUCCAUCAAGAACAACUUGUUGAAGUAUGGAGUU
rnacentral:misc_RNA from 1 species